UGGUCAACUUUUUAUUUGAAGAAACAUUUAAGAAUAAAAAUGUCCAUUAUCAAUAUUUCAUGUUUGAAGUUCCACUACUGCUAAUCCAAAAAGAGUUUCAUACAAAUGAAGUCGACAUGGUAUACAUUUCGAAGGAAUGAAAUUCAAGGAAUUGACCUGGUCGAUGAAUGACUAAUUUCGCUUGAUUGCAUCACAAAAGUUACCUGAGCUUCAAUUUUCAAUUUCUGGUAAUACCUUUCAAACAAGGCUAAAGGAGUCAUUGGACGCACUUUCUUCCGCACUGUGCAAAAGUGCUGAUAUUUUUCAAUAGAAUUCACCAUUUUCAAUUCAAGGAUUAUUGCAUCUUACAUUCUCAUGUCCCAGGAAAGGUAUUCUUUACUAAGCAUAAAUGUGAGAAGUUUCUUGGAACGUUUCACACACCUGCCUUCAUGUUUGUCGAUCUUCACUAAGAGGAAGUUGUAGAAUUUUAUUUUAGGGGGACUCAAAGGAUACGAAACGAGGCUUGGUUCCCGAGGAGAACAUCAAGUGUAUCUCUUGCCCCCAUUUUUGUAGCAACGAAACUGAAAAAAAAUAAUGUGACAGUUAUACCAUUGUGUGUGACUUUAAACACGCGACAUUGUACUGUUAGUGAUAGUUCUGCCAUAUUGAUAUUAAAGGUGACGUUAUCUCUUCAUUUGGGGAACUUUCAGAGAGUAAAAAUAAUAGCAAAGCAAUGAAUGCACCUUUGUGAUGUUUCGAACCAGGUUCUUUUUAGAUAUUGAAGAGGGAGCUUGGAUGGAAUGUUGGUCAUAAAUAGUCUGAUACCAUCCAAAUCAACAAUUGACAGUUUGUAAAACAGAUUCAGGGAACAUGAUUAAAAACUGCUAGCUUUUAUAGUAACAAAAUCAAAACUUGUCAAAACCUUCAUAACCAUGGUCAUGUUUUCAUUGGGCUAGCUGCACUACGUCAUUUUUGUCUUUGAAACAAAAUGAGCAGAAAUAAUCUGUGUGAUCUGUUCUUCAUCUCUUGAAAUUGUUUUCUGUUUGUUUGGCUUGCUGUUCAUAGAUACUUCGCUGACUUUAUUUUAAAAUAGGUGUUCUGGAAAAAUUAAAAUUAAUGCACUUAUCAGAUGAAAGAUGUCGAUGUUUUAGUUUGAAAUUGGCUGACGUGGCUUUCUGACGUUUUCUGACUUCAUGCUAUAUUUUACCAGGCUCUUUUAGGUCAGGUCGUCUAUAUCUGCAUGGUGGCUAAAAAAAAUUCAUGGGAAAAUUAGUGAUGCCUGUAUGUGUAACUCUUACCAAUAUGUCAUUUACAUUCGACGUUGUGGGCCUGUUUGUUUCGGAUUCGGAUCGCGAUCAGGGAUCCGAGGUCGGUUCACUGAUGCCAGGAUCCACCUAGUUGGGAUCACUGAUCGAGAUCCAACUCCAUGCAAAGCAAAGAGGCCCUAUACGUUCCUGGAGCUGAUGACCGCAUAGAACGUGUGAUUUGACACUCGACAAAAGGAAACGGGGUUUAACUGCAGUGAAAUAUUGAAGGCUUAGUGCUUCUUGAGCAAAGAACCGAUGAGGAAUGAGUAUCGGACAUUUACCUAUGCAAAUUAUGACAAUAUGACAUUUACCUAUGCAAAUUAUGACAAUAUGACAUUUACCUAUGCAAAUUAUGACAAUAGGCCUAUUGUUGGAUUCCUUCGUUCAUAAUUUGCCUGAACAAUGAACUGAUUCAAGCCACAUCAGGGCUGCCACCUUUGUUACGCUUGAAUGAACACCAGGGAGUAUAGAUACCAGAAAAUCUCAAAAAACUCAUCUUUACAAGCAUUUUAGCCAACAAGUACUUUUGGCCAAGGAAAUUACCUAACGUUAAAAAACCAGGCCAUGGUUUUAAAAUUUGAAAAACCCCACUGAAUAAAAACAUGGCUAUUUUGGACUGAUAAGUUUCAUGUUAAAACUAAAGCAUUGGCUAAUUUUUUAAAAGCCAUUUUUUUCCGAAAUAUUCUUUUCAUCUGCUCCCUGGUGUUCAUUGAAGUGUAGCGAAGUUGCGGCCUCGUUGUGCCUCGAAGCUGUUCGUUAUUCAGGCAAGAUUUGGACAAAGGAAUCCAAAAAAAUAAAAUGGAUUUCUUUAACAGCCAACCUGCCACAUGGCCUGCUUCAAGCUGUUUUCUAGUCAUUUGUGGACUCGUCUACAGUCGAGAAACUUUGAAAAGUGUUCCUGUUGCCCUCAACAACACAUUGGACAUGGUUAAGGUUGAGCUUUGACCCCCCUGAGGCGGGGCCUGCAAUUCUAACCUUCCAAGAUGCGCUUCUCUGCCAAACAAGUCAUUUUGGAAGUUGCUUUAACGACUUUGUACACUGUAUCCAUUUGAUUUCCAUUGCCAUGGGAACAGCUCUCUUUCCACGAAUCUCUGCAAGUUCUCUGUGUUCCUCAAAAA